rnacentral:rRNA from 1 species
UACGGAGGAUGCGAGCGUUAUCCGGAUUUAUUGGGUUUAAAGGGUGCGCAGGCGGCACGGCAAGCCGGCGGUCAAAUCGCGGGGCUCAACCCCGCCCAGCCGUCGGAACUGCCGGGCUAGAGUGGGCGAGAAGUGCGCUGAAUGCGUGGUGUAGCGGUGAAAUGCAUAGAUAUCACGCAGAACUCCGAUUGCGAAGGCAGCGCACCGGCGCCCUACUGACGCUCAGGCACGAAAGCGUGGGUAUCGAACAGG